rnacentral:lncRNA from 1 species
UCAGGCGACAACUGGAGAAAAUUGUCCUAGAUAAGCAUGAAGAUACCAUGAGUAAAAUGGGUGCAAUUUUGGCCUCUGGUAUUCUUGAUGCUGGUGGAAGAAACGUGACGAUCAAAUUACUUUCAAAGACUAAACAUGACAAAAUUACAGCAGUCGUUGGACUAGCUGUUUUUAGUCAGUUUUGGUAUUGGUAUCCACUUAUAUAUUUUAAUCAAGUUACUUUCAAAGACUAAACAUGACAAAAUUACAGCAGUUGUUGGACUAGCUGUUUUUAGUCAGUUUUGGUAUUGGUAUCCACUUAUAUAUUUCGUUAGCUUAGCAUUCUCACCAAC